CCUACGGGCGGCAGCAGUAGGGAAUCUUCCACAAUGGGCGAAAGCCUGAUGGAGCAAUGCCGCGUGGGUGAAGAAGGUCUUCGGAUCGUAAAACCCUGUUGUUAGAGAGGAAAGUGCCUGAGAGUAACUGUUCACGUUUCGACGGUACCUAACCAGAAAGCCACGGCUAACUACGUGCCAGCAGCCGCGGUAAUACGUAGGGGGCAAGCGUUAUCCGGAUUUAUUGGGCGUAAAGGGAACGCAGGCGGUCUUUUAAGUCUGAUGUGAAAGCCUUCGGCUUAACCGGGGUAGUGCAUUGGAGACUGGGAGACUAGAGUGCAGUAGAGGGGGGUGGAACUCCAUGUGUAGCGGUGAAAUGCGUAGAGAUAUGGAAGAACACCGGUGGCGAAAGCGGCUCUCUGGUCUGUGACUGACGCUGAGGUUCGAAAGCGUGGGUAGCAAACAGGAUUAGAUACCCUUGUAGUC
rnacentral:rRNA from 1 species